GAUUGACUUUAGGUACCGGGUUUACAUUGAUCCAGAAAAGGUGUGCAUGGAUCUCAGAGCAAGAGAAUUGGUUUUGAUAUUGAAAAGAUUCCAAAAUAAUAACUCAGCGCCUCAUUCCUCCCAACCCACACUUCAUCUGCAGGAAGGUUCUGCUAAUUCCUUGUGACUUUAGUCAUAGGAGUCAUGGAAUAGCAGUUCCAACACCAACAGGAUGAAAAUAUGGAACAAAACAGGGCAUAUAUUUUUACCUAUAAACUGUGGACUGUCUUUUUCUCCUAACCAAAACUAAAAUGAACCAUUCCCCUCCAGUAUUAUAUGGCCAAUAAGAAAUCUGAUUGCACUGAAGUGAAAACAUCCAGAAUAGUUGAGUCAAACAGCAAAGAAGACAUGUUAAUAUAGGCAGAUAAGAACAACCAGCUUGGCUGCAGACAGGCAGGUCUGCCCAUGCCCUACCAAGGUCCCCAGUCGCACCGAACACACGCCGAAUCAUCCCGCUGCACACAGGAAGGUCUGUGCACGCCCUACCAAGGUCCUGAGUCACGCGGAAGACACCGAAGCCCCUGGCUGCAGACAGGCAGCCACCUGGUUCCACACUACAAAGACGCAGAGGACACCAGACCACCAGACCAAGAGAACAGAGCUCCCGGGAGCGCGGGCGUCCCCCAGUCCUGCUUCCCCGCGCGGAGCGGGCUGCGAAGUCUCAAGCCGCCUGGCCUCACCAGGAUAGCGGAUCCUCAACUCUGCGCCUGAUUUGCGGCCCUUGAGACACAUCCUGGACGCCUUUGAGACUGCGGAGGCCCUGCCCGUUCAGUCCCCUCGGCCUCGUGACCCUCCCUGAAGCAUGCUGUCAGAGCGGAGGCUGCAGCGCUAGAUCCCACGGGUUGGGGAGGGACCGGGCGUCCGGCUUCGCUCCGGGCGUCUCGAUGGUUCCGCACAAUAGAGCUCCACCCCGAC
rnacentral:lncRNA from 1 species